rnacentral:rRNA from 1 species
GCGGGUUUACGACCUCGAUGUUGGAUCAGGGUAUCCCAGUGGUGCAGCCGCUACUAAAGGUUCGUUUGUUCAACGAUUAAAACCCUACGUGAUCUGAGUUCAGACCGGAGUAAUCCAGGUCAGUUUCUAUCUAUAAAGAGCUUUUUCUAGUACGAAAGGACCGAAAAAACAUGGCCCAUGCAUUAUGCAAGCCGUAUUUAAUAAUUUAUGACCCAGACUCAAUAAAUAUUUAAUCUGUAAUAAAACUCUAAACAAGAGCGUU